UAUGGCCUAGCUUGCUAGGACCCAGCUAGUGGCAGACGGGUGAGUAACGCGUGGGAACCUACCUUUUAGUACGGAAUAGCCAUUGGAAACGAUGAUUAAUACCGUAUACGCUCUUUUCGAGGAAAGAUUUAUCGCUAAAAGAUGGGCCCGCGUUAGAUUAGCUUGUUGGUAAGGUAAUGGCUUACCAAGGCAACGAUCUAUAGCUGGUUUGAGAGGAUGAUCAGCCACACUGGAACUGAGACACGGUCCAGACUCCUACGGGAGGCAGCAGUGGGGAAUAUUGGACAAUGGACGAAAGUCUGAUCCAGCAAUACCGCGUGAGUGAUGAAGGCCUUAGGGUUGUAAAGCUCUUUCAGUAGGGAAGAUAAUGACGGUACCUACAGAAGAAGCACCGGCUAACUCCGUGCCAGCAGCCGCGGUAAUACGGAGGGUGCAAGCGUUGUUCGGAAUUACUGGGCGUAAAGCGCGCGUAGGCGGUUUAGUAAGUUGGGAGUGAAAUGCCGAGGCUCAACCUCGGAACUGCUCUCAAAACUGCUAUACUAGAGUAUGGUAGGGGAUAGUGGAAUUCCUAGUGUAGAGGUGAAAUUCGUAGAUAUUAGGAGGAACACCAGUGGCGAAGGCGACUAUCUGGACCAUUACUGACGCUAAGG
rnacentral:rRNA from 1 species